rnacentral:scRNA from 1 species
CUCCUGAGUCCCUGGUGCAGCCCCAAGUGAACCUGCAUAUUUUUCUUCUAUGAUCAGGACCUAUGUGGCUAGACUGAGAGGAUUACAACAACGUGGCAAAUGAUGAUGUGACCACUGAGCAAUCUGAG